CCUACGGGGGGCAGCAGUGGGGAAUAUUGGACAAUGGGGGGAACCCUGAUCCAGCCAUGCCGCGUGUGUGAAGAAGGCCCUCGGGUUGUAAAGCACUUUCAGUGAGGAAGAACGCCUGGUGGUUAAUACCCAUCAGGAAAGACAUCACUCACAGAAGAAGCACCGGCUAACUCCGUGCCAGCAGCCGCGGUAAUACGGAGGGUGCGAGCGUUAAUCGGAAUUACUGGGCGUAAAGCGCGCGUAGGUGGCUUGAUAAGCCGGUUGUGAAAGCCCCGGGCUCAACCUGGGAACGGCAUCCGGAACUGUCAAGCUAGAGUGCAGGAGAGGAAGGUAGAAUUCCCGGUGUAGCGGUGAAAUGCGUAGAGAUCGGGAGGAAUACCAGUGGUGAAGGCGGCCUUCUGGACUGACACUGACACUGAGGUGCGAAAGCGUGGGUAGCAAACAGGAUUAGAUACCCGUGUAGUC
rnacentral:rRNA from 1 species